rnacentral:lncRNA from 1 species
CUAGCUCUUGGGCAAGCGUGUGGCUGUCCAACCCCAAGCAAGGUGAAAUUAGCAAGAAAGAAAGGCUGGGGGAGGACUGCGGGCAGGAGAGAAUCUGCACAGCUGCAUGGAUUCCUAAGAGAGGUCGGGUCCCAUUUAAGAAGCUUUGUGGAUAAAAAGGAGAAGGCCAGGGGCCUGGGAAACCCUCAGUGCCCUUCUGCAGGAGCAGAGAGGCGAGGCUGAGCAGCAGUGCUGGUGUGUGAAGCCCCAUGCUUCUCCAGUAUGGUAGGGGAUGAGUGGUGUUUUAGGGUGGGACCCUGCCAGCUCUCGAGUGAUAGCCCAAGGCUGGGCACACCAUGAUAUCCACAACACAAAGAGUUGCAAGUGUUGGAACCCCCAGCCAAGAGGCAAACUGUUGGACUUACGGACCUUGUACUUCUAAGGGCAACUUUCACAACAGCUGGAUUCAGGGGCUGUCUCUUCCUCCUUCCAAGUCUCCAUCCGUCAGCACCGCUCCUCUCCUUCCGCUGCCACUGGGCCCUUGGGCCGCAAAUGGGCCUCUUCAUCUGGAGGGAGAGACGGCUGCUGGCAGCCCAAAGUCUCUGUCCUUACAGAUGGUGACCUGAAGGGGACAGGAAGCUUUCUUUCCCUUUGCUUCCCAGGAAGAACUCUGAAGGACUGGUUUGAGCCACGUCAGUACCCCUUGGACUGACUGGAGUCACGUGCCGAGCCCUGUGAGCUCCUGAACCACGGUCAUGCCCACAUUCCACACGUAUUGAGCGUCAUCUUCAUGCAGACACUGCUGUGGGUGCUGGAGAUGGAGUGGUUAGCAGCCCAGGCAGGAAGAAGCAGCACUGCCCACCUGCACAGUCCGCCCCCAGCCCCCUGGAAGAUGGGUCACAGCAGGAGCAGUGGUCACCACGGAUUUCCAGGGGUGAACAGAGACAGAGGCCAGAAGAGGAGAGUGCAGAAAUGUCUGGAGCCCAAGGUCUCGGCUACAUCUAACUUCACAUUUGCACAGAUCACCACUGAGCACAAGGCUGUACUACCUACCCCUCCCCACUCCUGUCUGCCUGAACUCACCUGGGACAGAAGACAGGACUUCCAAACAGCAGGACGCAAGCCAAUGCAUGGUGAGGGGAGGAUUUCAGAGAAUGUUAUGCCGGGCAAAGUGGACCCCGCUCCUAGCAAUUCUGCCUUGUUGGUCACACGCAGGACCUGUGGCCAUUCUUGGGGACAAGCACAGAGCCACGGCAGGGGCUGUCCCCUGUCACAUCCCUCAGCUGAGUCCACAGGGGUCCCUUCUCUGAUCUCACGUGCUUGUCUGUAAUAGCAGUGCAAGCAUUUGAGUGUGGGGUUAGCCUGACUGCAUAGAGGCAGGGCAUCCAAAACAGUAGGAUAUCUGUGGCACCUGAGACAGCAGGAUGCCUGUGGCACCCGCAAUGGCAGGGACACUGGGGGGAGGGACCAAGGGGUGCUUCCUUCCUUCCAGGGUUCCCUCCAGCCGCCUCAGACCCUGGGAGUUUUAGUUUGAAGAGGAAGCUGCUGAGAACGAAUGGAGGGGUUGCCCCAGUGGAUCUUACUUCCUGAUUGGACCCUGGUUCCCCAGCAAGAGAAAGGCCAGACGAUUUUAUGAAGUGAGCUGGAGAACCAAACCCUCCAUCCCUAUGACUCACAUAGAAGAAACACACAACUUUGGCAGACUCCCCACACUGCUUUUUGUUGACCUCUGAAGAACAGAGGUCAGAGAAACUUUACCUUCAGAUUUAAGACUACCUGGAUGAGACGAAGGGGCAUCUUCCUCCUCCUGUUCCCCAUCCCCAAAGCUCCUGUUUCCUCCCCAUCUUGUCUCAAGUCCCUAAGAAUUGGAGCUGCCUUCUGAACAGGAUGGAGCUGCUAGUUUAUGAUUCUCUGCACUCCAUUAACUUCAAAUGCAGAUCAAUGAUCUAUAAAACAUAGAACAAGGAAGCCGAGGAAACACUGCUAGGCUCAGAAAUAAUUUUAAAACAUUUCUGAGUAUCAGAAAUGGAACAGAAACAAAAAAGUAAAGGAUUUUUAAAGGUUUUAGAACAAUUUUUAGGAGCGUGUCUGACUCUGAGGGUAGGAGAAGAUGUAAAUAAGACAUAAAAGUCAUAGAAGAAAUAGCUGAAAAACGCGAUAACAUUAAAAAGUUCUACAUUUCCAACAGUAGUCAAUACUGGAAAAAAUGAAAAUACAAACAUAGAAAAGACAGUUGCAAUGCAGACAACCAAUGUCUAAGAUAAACAAAUAAGAAGAAAGGCAAAACCUGAUAGGCCAAUAGAUAGCUCACAGAUGAGAAACCACAAACAGCCAAGAACAUACAUUUCAUUUUUGAGCCUCACAAUUAACCAGAAACAUGUGUAUUAAAAUAAUAAACCAUCUGACUUGAUUGGUCA